rnacentral:rRNA from 1 species
GCUGGCGGCAUGCUUACACAUGCAAGUCGCACGGACCCUUCGGGGUGAGUGGCGGACGGGUGAGUAUCGCGUAGGGAUCUAUCCACGGGUGGGGGAUAACAUCGGGAAACUGGUGCUAAUACCGCAUGAUACCUGAGGGUCAAAGGCGCAAGUCGCCUGUGGAGGAGCCUGCGUUCGAUUAGCUUGUUGGUGGGGUAAAGGCCUACCAAGGCGAUGAUCGAUAGCUGGUCUGAGAGGAUGAUCAGCCACACUGGGACUGAGACACGGCCCAGACUCCUACGGGAGGCAGCAGUGGGGAAUAUUGGACAAUGGGCGAAAGCCUGAUCCAGCAAUGCCGCGUGUGUGAAGAAGGUCUUCGGAUUGUAAAGCACUUUCGACGGGGACGAUGAUGACGGUACCCGUAGAAGAAGCCCCGGCUAACUUCGUGCCAGCAGCCGCGGUAAUACGAAGGGGGCUAGCGUUGCUCGGAAUGACUGGGCGUAAAGGGCGCGUAGGCGGUUUACACAGUCAGAUGUGAAAUUCCAGGGCUUAACCUUGGGGCUGCAUUUGAUACGUGUAGACUAGAGUGUGAGAGAG